rnacentral:rRNA from 1 species
AUUGAACGCUGGCGGCAGGCCUAACACAUGCAAGUCGAACGGUAACAGGAAGCAGCUUGCUGCUUUGCUGACGAGUGGCGGACGGGUGAGUAAUGUCUGGGAACUGCCUGAUGGAGGGGGAUAACUACUGGAAACGGUAGCUAAUACCGCAUAACGUCGCAAGACCAAAGAGGGGGACCUUCGGGCCUCUUGCCAUCGGAUGUGCCCAGAUGGGAUUAGCUAGUAGGUGGGGUAACGGCUCACCUAGGCGACGAUCCCUAGCUGGUCUGAGAGGAUGACCAGCCACACUGGAACUGAGACACGGUCCAGACUCCUACGGGAGGCAGCAGUGGGGAAUAUUGCACAAUGGGCGCAAGCCUGAUGCAGCCAUGCCGCGUGUAUGAAGAAGGCCUCGGUAAAAACUUCAGGCGGGGAGGAAGGCGAUAAGGUUAAUAACCUUGUCGAUUGACGUUACCCGCAGAAGAAGCAC